rnacentral:rRNA from 1 species
GAUGAACGCUGGCGACGUGCCUAAUACAUGCAAGUAGAACGCUGAAGCUUGGUGCUUGCACCGAGCGGAUGAGUUGCGAACGGGUGAGUAACGCGUAGGUAACCUGCCUCUUAGCGGGGGAUAACUAUUGGAAACGAUAGCUAAUACCGCAUAAAAGUCGAUAUCGCAUGAUAUUGAUUUGAAAGGUGCAAUUGCAUCACUAAGAGAUGGACCUGCGUUGUAUUAGCUAGUUGGUGAGGUAACGGCUCACCAAGGCGACGAUACAUAGCCGACCUGAGAGGGGGAUCGGCCACACUGGGACUGAGACACGGCCCAGACUCCUACGGGAGGCAGCAGUAGGGAAUCUUCGGCAAUGGGGGCAACCCUGACCGAGCAACGCCGCGUGAGUGAAGAAGGUUUUCGGAUCGUAAAGCUCUGUUGUAAGAGAAGAACGAGUGUGAGAGUGGAAAGUUCACACUGUGACGGUAACUUACCAGAAAGGGACGGCUAACUACGUG